rnacentral:rRNA from 1 species
UACGUAGGGGGCAAGCGUUGUCCGGAUUUAUUGGGCGUAAAGGGCGCGCAGGCGGCGCUUCAAGUCCGUUGUGAAAUUUCAGGGCUUAACCCUGACGGGUCAACGGAAACUGAAGGGCUAGAGUGCAGCAGAGGAAAGCGGAAUUCCCGGUGUAGUGGUGAAAUGCGUAGAUAUCGGGAGGAACACCAGAGGCGAAAGCGGCUUUCUGGGCUGGAACUGACGCUGAGGCGCGAAGGCUAGGGGAGCAAACAGG